GUCGGGAAUUUUGGGCAAUGGGCGAAAGCCUGACCCAGCAACGCCGCGUGAGGGAUGAAGUAUUUCGGUAUGUAAACCUCGAAAGAAUGGGAAGAAUAAAUGACGGUACCAUUAUAAGCUCCGGCUAACUACGUGCCAGCAGCCGCGGUAAUACGCAGGGAGCAAGCGUUGUUCGGAUUUACUGGGCGUAAAGGGCGCGUAGGCGGCGCGGUAAGUCACUUGUGAAAUCUCUGAGCUUAACUCAGAACGGCCAAGUGAUACUGCUGUGCUAGAGUGCGGAAGAGGCAACCGGAAUUCUUGGUGUAGCGGUGAAAUGCGUAGAUAUCAAGAGGAACACCUGAGGCGAAGGCGGGUUGCUGGGCCGACACUGACGCUGAUGCGCGAAAGCCAGGGGAGCAAACG
rnacentral:rRNA from 1 species